AUUGAACGCUGGCGGCAGGCCUAACACAUGCAAGUCGAACGAGUGGCGGACGGGUGAGUAAUGUCUGGGAAACUGCCUGCUGGCGGGGGAUAACUACUGGAAACGGUAGCUAAUACCGCAUACCAUCAGAUGUGCCCAGAUGGGAUGAGCUGUUUGUGGGGGUAACGGCUCACCAAGGCGACGAUCCCUAGCUGGUCUGAGAGGAUGACCAGCCACACUGGAACUGGGACACGGUCCAGACGCCUACGGGAGGCAGCAGUGGGGAAUAGUGCACAAUGGGCGCAAGCCUGAUGCAGCCAUGCCGCGUGUAUGAAGAAGGCCUGCGGGUUGUAAAGUACUUUCAGCGGGGAGGCGUUACCCGCAGAAGAAGCACCGGCUAACUCCGUGCCAGCCGCCGCGGUAAUUC
rnacentral:rRNA from 1 species